AUUGAACGCUUGCGGCAGGCCUAACACAUGCAAGUCGAACGAGUGGCGGACGGGUGAGUAAUGUCUGGGAAACUGCCUGGUGGCGGGGGAUAACUACUGGAAACGGUAGCUAAUACCGCAUACCAUCGGAUGUGCCCAGAUGGGAUUAGCUAGUUGGUGGGGUAAAGGCUCACCAAGGCGACGAUCCCUAGCUGGUCUGAGAGGAGGACCAGCCACACUGGAACUGAGCCACGGUCCAGACCCCUACGGGAGGCAGCAGUGGGGAAUUUUGCACAAUGGGCGCAAGCCUGAUGCAGCCAUCCCGCGUGUAUGAAGAAGGCCUUCGUGUUGUAAAGUACUUUCAGCGGGGAGGCGUUACCUGCAGAAGAAGCACCGGCUAACUCCGUGCCAGCAGCCGCGGUAAUUC
rnacentral:rRNA from 1 species